GCUAAAGGGCCAGCGGGCCUGAUGACAUCGUGGCGGUGGCAGCAGCGGCCACCUUGUGCUUCUGGGGCUGGCAGCGUUGGCGGCUACCCUGCUUGGCUGGAGAGGACGGGAGUGUCGGGCAGGCGACACUCCCCCCAAUUACUGAUCCUUCAUCUAAUGAUGGUAAGAAGCUUUAGAAGUUCAUGAAGGAAUAGCCUCUUCCCCCUCCCCCCGGCCAUGAUGUCUCGCCACUUGAAAGAGCUGUGUCCCAGGUUGCCCUAGACGGAGAAUGUCCACACUGACAGACAAAAAUCUUUCUGGUUCACUCUACUAUCUAUUCAAACAACGUGAGAUGCCUAUGAACUUCCAUUGUGCAUUAGAUAGGCCACUCUUAGUGGACAGAAAGCUGAGAGAGUUGACCAGGGCAAUUCUAUGGAUGUCUACUCAGAAGUCCCAUUCAGUUCAGUGUGACUUUCUUGAAGGUAAGUAAUCAUAGGAUUACAGCCCUGACAUAUUUUCACAGACACAUAUUCUGACAUGUUUGAGUUUCUUUGCAGAUAGCACCCAUCAGCUAUGAGCUCAACGUAACACUGUGUGCCUAAAACAGCUUUCUUCAUAAAUCUUAGUGGGAGGAACUGAAUAUCUGAGGAGGUAAGUCAGACUUUGGAAUUCCUACUUCAAGUGCAGAUGUUGGUGUCAGAUGAAGUGACCAUAUCAGUCUCUGGAAGAAAGGAAGAGGAAACCAACAAUAGCCUAGCCAAAACUAUUUCCCCUUAACAAAAACUAGCAGAAGCCUAAAUCACGUACUGUUCUGUUAUAGAGAAUUUUGUUUGUUCAGCUGUAUGUUUAUGAGGAACGGCUUAGGGAGCUGGGUAUGUUUAGCCUGGAGAAGAGAAGG